rnacentral:rRNA from 1 species
GACGAACGCUGGCGGCGUGCUUAACACAUGCAAGUCGAACGGAAAGGCCCUGCUUUUGUGGGGUGCUCAAGUGGCGAACGGGUGAGUAACACGUGAGUAACCUGCCCUUGACUUUGGGAUAACUUCAGGAAACUGGGGCUAAUACCGGAUAGGAGCUCCUGCUGCAUGGUGGGGGUUGGAAAGUUUCGGCGGUUGGGGAUGGACUCGCGGCUUAUCAGCUUGUUGGUGGGGUAGUGGCUUACCAAGGCUUUGACGGGUAGCCGGCCUGAGAGGGUGACCGGCCACAUUGGGACUGAGAUACGGCGCAGACUCCUACGGGAGGCAGCAGUGGGGAAUAUUGCACAAUGGGCGGAAGCCUGAUGCAGCAACGCCGCGUGCGGGAUGACGGCCUUCGGGUUGUAAACCGCUUUCGCCUGUGACGAAGCGUGAGUGACGGUAAUGGGUAAAGAAGCACCGGCUAACUACGUG